GCGUCAAUGGUGUAAUGGUUAGCAUAGUUGCCUUCCAAGCAGUUGAUCGGAGUUCGAUUCUCCGUUGACGCA
rnacentral:tRNA from 1 species